UACAGAGGUCCCAAGCGUUGUUCGGAUUCACUGGGCGUAAAGGGUGCGUAGGCGGUUUGACAAGUCUGAUGUGAAAUCCCGCAGCUUAACUGCGGAACUGCAUUGGAAACUGUUUGACUAGAGGAAUGGAGGGGAGACUGGAAUACUUGGUGUAGCAGUGAAAUGCGUAGAUAUCAAGUGGAACACCAGUGGCGAAGGCGAGUCUCUGGACAGUUCCUGACACUGAGACACGAAGGCCAGGGGAGCAAACGGG
rnacentral:rRNA from 1 species